UACGUAGGGUGCAAGCGUUGUCCGGAAUUAUUGGGCGUAAAGAGCUCGUAGGCGGUCUGUCGCGUCUGCUGUGAAGACUCAGGGCUUAACCCUGAGCUUGCAGUGGGUACGGGCAGACUAGAGUGCGGUAGGGGAGACUGGAAUUCCUGGUGUAGCGGUGAAAUGCGCAGAUAUCAGGAGGAACACCGGUGGCGAAGGCGGGUCUCUGGGCCGUAACUGACGCUGGAGGAGCGAAAGCAUGGGGAGCGAACAGG
rnacentral:rRNA from 1 species